UCUCAUGCUGUGACCCUACAAAGGGAAGCCCUUUCUGUUGUCUAAACGAAAAGAAAGUGCUUCUCUUUGCUGGGUUACGGUUUGAGA
ensembl:miRNA